rfam:Callithrix jacchus chromosome 5, whole genome shotgun sequence
CUUCCACUUGUGCAGGCUCAGCAUCCCUGGGGCCUCAACUCCUUAUCCAUCCUGGGUUGCUCCUCGCAGAAGCCCUUUCCUCGGGGUCCUGGCCCUCUACCUCCCAGCCCU